UGGCGCUCCUCUUUCCCAGCCUUCGCUGCCCCCUGGUUUACAAACGGGCAGUCUGCGGCCCGAGGGGGAAGGCGUGCCCAGGAAAUGGAGCCAGAAUCCACAGAUGUCAUUAUCCAUCUGCCCACUUUGUUUACUACCCAGAAGGCAAGAAUAUUGCAUUUUAAAAGUGUCUGGACUUUUGUUCUUUCUUAUCACACAUGACUUGGGAAGCCCCGACCAUUCCUGUUUACCCUGAAUGAGAGUCCUAGUCAAAGCCUUGCUGCCUGGAGAGCUUUAAAAUUCCAGUACAAAAGGCAUUUUAUAAGCACAAAGUGGAAAACGUCAUUUAUAUUCAUUUGCUGCUGUGGCAUUUCUCCCUGGAAUCUUCCUCUUGUCUGUCAACAUUGGGCAAAAGGACUGGCCUCAUCUACAUUACAAAUAUUCUUUUAAUGGUCUGGAGGUAGGAAGAGACACACAGCCCAAGAUGGAAAAAGAAACUUGAGCUCUCCUAUCGGAGGGCUCGGCUUGUUUAUCCAUAAAACUGGUCAGACAUAAUUAGUGUGGGUAUUGUGAUUUGUUUUGGAAAAACCCAAGUAUGAAAUUGAUACAGUCCUUUG